UCCAACUGUAAAACCGCCCCAAAUAACAUUCACCUGACUCAUGCAAACAUGGAAAAGCUGAAAAAAGAUCUUAUAAAAACAUUAAUUGUACAAAAACCGAUCUAAGUUUAUAAUCAAAGCAAAACAAGAAUUUAGGAUUUCAGAGUCGCAGACAAGUGCCGGAGUGGCUGUGUGUUUCUGCUCCCUUCAAAUAAAUUUUUACGGAAUAAGCGAGAGAAACACAGAAAAGACGUAAUCUCACCAGAAACAAGUAUAAAGCAAGGAUGAUUGUAGAAAACCGAAGGCGCGAGUCUGAGGACAGAAGCGAGAUGAGAUUUUCUCAAGAUCAGCAAAUGCAUGUUGCAGUACUUAAUGCUGGAUCAAUUAAAUCAAUGUUUUAAUGAUUAGACAGCGGUCCAAUAGAAUAGCUCUCAGAAACAGACU